GAUGAACGCUGGCGGCGUGCUUAACACAUGCAAGUCGAACGGAAAGGCUCCUGCUUGCAGGGGUACUCGAGUGGCGAACGGGUGAGUAACACGUGGGUGAUCUGCCCUGCACUUCGGGAUAAGCCUGGGAAACUGGGUCUAAUACCGGAUAGGACGAUGGUUUGGAUGCCAUUGUGGAAAGUUUUUCGGUGUGGGAUGAGCUCGCGGCCUAUCAGCUUGUUGGUGGGGUAAUGGCCUACCAAGGCGUCGACGGGUAGCCGGCCUGAGAGGGUGUACGGCCAAUUUGGGAAUGGGAGACGGCCAGACCUCCUCCGGGAGGCAGCGGGGGGGAAUAUGUAACAAUGGGCCCAAGCCUAAGGAAGCGCCGCCGGGGGGGGGAGGCAGCCCUUCGGGUUGGAACCCCCUUUCGCAAGGGCAGAAGCCCAAGGGACGGAACCUGGGAAAGAAGCACCGGCAAACUACGU
rnacentral:rRNA from 1 species